AGUAAAAAAAUCGAGAUUCUCUCUGCCUCUCUAGACACAACCCACGAACGAGAACGAACAAAGGGAAAUCAGCGCAUCUGCUUCUUCCGUCGACUUUAAUUCUGGCCUCCGGUUCGUCAUCUAUUUCAAGCAAUGACGUCGCAGUCCCCUUCCAAGCUUCAGUUCACGACUUCACGCCUUCGCAGUCGCAGUUCCAGCAACAUCAGAUAAAUUCGCAAAUUGGAAUGAAAACGAAGACCGGAACACCCUCUAAAAUCGCCUGUUCUUUCUAAAAUCCUUUGUUCUUUCUGCACCAUUAGGUAAGGCAGAAGGGUAUUUGAUUCGAGUAAUUUCUUGACCAAAAUCUCUAAUUGUUUUGUGUAUGAAACCAUAUGCCCACCAAGUGUUCGAUCAAUUUCCUGAGUGAAGGGUAUUUUGAUUUGGGUAAUUUCUUGACUAAAAUUUCGGUCCCUUGAUCAUCUGUGAAGUUAUUAAGAACCAUGGAUUGAAGAUGUAGGUGGGUUGGUUCUAGUUCUCGGUUGUUUAUGGUGCGAUAGUGGUGGAGUGUGAUGGUGCAGAACAGAUGCAAACAGGAAGGUGGUCAAUGGACGUGUUUGGUGGUUGGAUCAAAAACGAAUGGAGCAGUUAGUGGUAUUUGGUUGUAUGUGUAUGUAGCAAAAACAUAGAUUGGAUUGCAGCUCUAUUGAUCUCUCGAGCACCACACCAGAUGUUUUAAGCAGUGAGUUAUGUAAAAGGCUUAAAGGGUUUCUUGCAGCAUGGACUCCUUCAAGUCCCCAACCUCAUGUCAAUGAACUUCUUGUAGCAAAGGACUUUUUUUUAAUUAUAUAUAAUGCUAUAUUUAUUAAAACUUUAAUAUAUAUAUA